GAUGAACGCUGGCGGCGUGCCUAAUACAUGCAAGUCGAGCGAACAGACGAGAGUGCUUGCACUCUCUGACGUUAGCGGCGGACGGGUGAGUCACACGUGGGUAACCUACCUAUAAGACUGGGAUAACUUCGGGAAACCGGAGCUAAUACCGGAUAAUAUUUAGCUUCGCAUGAAGCAAUAGUGAAAGACGGUUCUGCUGUCACUUAUAGAUGGACCCGCGGUGUAUUAGCUAGUUGGUGAGGUAACGGCUCACCAAGGCAGCGAUACAUAGCCGACCUGAGAGGGUGAUCGGCCACACUGGGACUGAGACACGGCCCAGACUCCUACGGGAGGCAGCAGUAGGGAAUCUUCCGCAAUGGACGAAAGUCUGACGGAGCAAUGCCGCGUGAGUGAAGAAGGUUUUCGGAUCGUAAAACUCUGUUGUAAGGGAAGAACAAGUACGUUAGUAACUGAACGUACCUUGACGGUACCUUACCAGAAAGCCACGGCUAACUACGUG
rnacentral:rRNA from 1 species